UGAGGAAUCUUGCACAAUGGGCGAAAGCCUGAUGCAGCGACGCCGCGUAGAGGAUGAAGGUCUUCGGAUUGUAAACUCCUGUUAAACGGGAAGAAAGAUCUGUUUCUAAUACAAGCAGAUUAUGACGGUACCGUUAGAGAAAGCACCGGCUAACUUCGUGCCAGCAGCCGCGGUAAUACGAGGGGUGCAAGCGUUAUUCGGAUUGAUUGGGUGUAAAGGGUGUGCAGACGGCUUAUUAAGUCACUUGUUAAAUUCUUCGGCCUAACUGAAGGUCUGCAAGUGAUACUGAUGAGCUAGAGGGUGGAAGAGAGAAGUUGAAUUCCUAGUGUAGCGGUGAAAUGCGUAGAGAUUAGGAAGAACACCAGUGGCGAAGGCGACUUUCUGGACCGUAACUGACGCUGAGGCAUGAAAGCGUGGGGAGCAAACA
rnacentral:rRNA from 1 species